GAAGCCGGAAUUGCUAGUAAUGGCAGGUCAGCAUACUGCCGUGAAUACGUUCCCGGGCCUUGUACACACCGCCCGUCACACCAUGAGAGUUGGGAAUACCCGAAGCCUGUGAGCUAACUUAUAAGAGGCAGCAGUCGAAGGUAGAAUCAAUGAUUGGGGUGAAGUCGUAACAAGGUAGC
rnacentral:rRNA from 1 species